GGGUGUGAUCAUACCAGCGCUAAUGCACUGGAUCCCAUCAGAACUCCGAAGUUAAGCGUACUUGGGCGGGAGUAGAACUAGGAUGGGUGACCUCCUGGGAAGUCCUCGUGUUGCACCCC
rfam:Nelumbo nucifera unplaced genomic scaffold scaffold00736, whole genome shotgun sequence